rnacentral:rRNA from 1 species
UACGUAGGGUGCAAGCGUUGUCCGGAAUUAUUGGGCGUAAAGAGCUCGUAGGCGGUUUGUCGCGUCUGCUGUGAAAUCUUAGGGCUUAACCCUGAGCUUGCAGUGGGUACGGGCAGGCUAGAGUCCGGAAGAGGAGAGUGGAAUUCCUGGUGUAGCGGUGAAAUGCGCAGAUAUCAGGAAGAACACCAAUGGCGAAGGCAGCUCUCUGGGACGGUACUGACGCUGAGGUGCGAAAGCGUGGGGAGCAAACAGG